GGGCCCUUAGCUCAAUUGGUUAGAGCGGCGGACUCAUAAUCCGUAGGUUGGGGGUUCAAGUCCCUCAGGGCCCACAA
rnacentral:tRNA from 2 species